rnacentral:rRNA from 1 species
UACGUAGGGUGCAAGCGUUAAUCGGAAUUACUGGGCGUAAAGCGUGCGCAGGCGGUCUUGUAAGUCUGUCGUGAAAUCCCCGGGCUCAACCUGGGAAUUGCGAUGGAGACUGCAAGGCUAGAAUCUGGCAGAGGGGGGUGGAAUUCCGCGUGUAGCAGUGAAAUGCGUAGAGAUGCGGAGGAACACCGAUGGCGAAGGCAGCCCCCUGGGCUGACACUGACGCUUCAGGCACGAAAGCGUGGGGAGCAAACAGG